CUAUCAGGUAGUAGUGGGUGUAGCGUACCUACUAGCCUACGACGGGUACGGGUUGUGAGAGCAAGAGCCCGGAGAUGGAUUCUGAGACACGAAUCCAGGCCCUACGGGGUGCAGCAGGCGCGAAAACUUUACAAUGCCGGCAACGGCGAUAAGGGGACCUCGAGUGCCAGGUUACAAAUCUGGCUGUCGUGAUGCCUAAAAAGCAUUGCAUAGCAAGGGCCGGGCAAGACCGGUGCCAGCCGCCGCGGUAACACCGGCGGCUCGAGUGGUAACCGUUAUUAUUGGGUCUAAAGGGUCUGUAGCCGGCCGGAUAAGUCUCUUGGGAAAUCCAGCAGCUCAACUGUUGGGCUUUCAGGAGAUACUGUCUGGCUCGAGGCCGGGAGAGGUGAGAGGUACUUCAGGGGUAGGGGUGAAAUCUUGUAAUCCUUGAAGGACCACCAGUGGCGAAGGCGUCUCACCAGAACGGACCUGACGGCAAGGGACGAAAGCUAGGGGCACGAACCGGAUUAGAUACCCGGGUAGUCCUAGCCGUAAACGAUACUCGCUAGGUGUCGGCCACGGUGCGACCGUUGUCGGUGCCGUAGGGAAGCCGUGAAGCGAGC
rnacentral:rRNA from 1 species